UACGGGGGGGGGCAAGCGUUGUUCGGAAUUACUGGGCGUAAAGGGCUCGUAGGCGGCCAACUAAGUCAGACGUGAAAUCCCUCGGCUUAACCGGGGAACUGCAUCUGAUACUGGAUGGCUUGAGUUCGGGAGAGGGAUGCGGAAUUCCAGGUGUAGCGGUGAAAUGCGUAGAUAUCUGGAGGAACACCGGUGGCGAAGGCGGCAUCCUGGACCGACACUGACGCUGAGGAGCGAAAGCCAGGGGAGCAACGGG
rnacentral:rRNA from 1 species